UCUUCACAUCCCAACAUACCAAAAAUACAAUACAGCUUGAGAAUAAUAUUAUGAAAAUAGUUUAUCAUAAGAAUUUUUCAACAAUGCUUGAGAAACACUUUUUUGCACAAACUUUUCUCAAAUCUGUCCUUUGUUGACAAAUUUGUUUUGAUUUUUUUUGUGAAAAUUGUCAACAAAAAAUUAUUUUCUUUGGUUAAAAUCAAAAUCACGCGAAUUUAGGACCCAUUUCCGGACGAAACUCUAAGAAUGGAGGCGUCAAAAAGUUGCAGGAAUUCAACAGAAGUGAAGAAUAAGUGGAGGAGAUACAGAAGCUCAAAUAAGGGGAAAGAAAGCAUCUAGGUAUCAAGGCAACAGGAUGCAGUGACAGCUGGGAUGGCAAUCAAUGAAUGAAAUGUGUAAAAUAAUUAAAAAAUGAAUAAAUAAAUAUUUUUUACCAUUGAAAAAAUAA